UACGGGGGGGGCAAGCGUUGUUCGGAAUUACUGGGCGUAAAGGGCGCGUAGGCGGUCUGCUAAGUUGGAUGUGAAAACUCUGGGCUUAACCCAGAGCCUGCAUUCAAUACUGACAGGCUAGAGUUCUGGAGGGGAUAGCGGAAUUCCUGGUGUAGCGGUGAAAUGCGUAGAUAUCAGGAGGAACACCGGUGGCGAAGGCGGCUAUCUGGACAGAGUCUGACGCUGAGGCGCGAAAGCGAGGGGAGCAAACAGG
rnacentral:rRNA from 1 species